CCUACGGGAGGCAGCAGUGGGGAAUAUUGGGCAAUGGAGGAAACUCUGACCCAGCGACGCCGCGUGCGGGAUGAAGGCCUUCGGGUUGUAAACCGCUUUCAGUAGGGAAGAAGCGAAAGUGACGGUACCUACAGAAGAAGCACCGGCUAACUAUGUGCCAGCAGCCGCGGUAAUACAUAGGGUGCAAGCGUUGUCCGGAAUUAUUGGGCGUAAAGAGCUCGUAGGUGGUUCGUCACGUCGGAUGUGAAAAUCUGGGGCUCAACCCCAGACCUGCAUUCGAUACGGGCGAUCUAGAGUGUGGUAGGGGAGACUGGAAUUCCUGGUGUAGCGGUGGAAUGCGCAGAUAUCAGGAGGAACACCAAUGGCGAAGGCAGGUCUCUGGGCCAUUACUGACACUGAGGAGCGAAAGCGUGGGGAGCGAACAGGAUUAGAUACCCUGGUAGUCCACGCCGUAAACGGUGGGCACUAGUUGUGGGAACCUUCCACGGUUUCUGCGACGCAGCUAACGCAUUAAGUGCCCCGCCUGGGGAGUACGAUCGCAAGAUUAAAACUUAAAGGAAUUGACGG
rnacentral:rRNA from 1 species